CCUAAUUGGCCAACACCUGCCCCUCCCUUUGCUCCCUGUCCCAGUAAACUCCAUGUGGGUUUGUUGAAGUUUUGUGUUUCAUUGUGUUACAUCGCGAAGCUGCACCUGCAGCAAAAACAAUACCAUUUUGGGUACUGUGACUCGGAUAGGCUCUCCUAGUGCCUGCAUUUCCUCUCCUGGUCUAAGCUGCACUGGGACCUUGUCCUCAUCUCUAGUUCACUUGCAACAGACUCAUCUUCCAGCUCCCCGACCACUCCCCCCCAUCCACCAGCAGCAUUGGCUGCUGCAGCAAAGCAACGACUGUGGGUUCUGGGCGGGGACUUCUUUCAUUUCUGGCUGGCCUGGGCCAGAACCAGCAACAUGGGCGAAGACUUUGGGCACUUUUGUAGGCAUGAAUGACAAAACCUGAAGAAUCAGACUUCUGCGAGCCGGGCAUGAUGGCACACGCCUUUAGUCUAGCACAGGGGAGGCAGAGGCAGGAGGUGGCCAGCCUGGUCUACAUAGUGAGUUCCAGGAUAGCCAGGGCUAUGUAGAGAGCCCCUCCACCCUCACUUGGGAAGAAAGGCAGGGAGAGAAUCAGACUGCUGGGAGUGGCUUGAUUCACAGAGGCAUUGAUCCGAUGAGUUUCUGCCCUUGCCCCAUCCAAAUAGAGAGGCCCUGGGCUUUUUAUUUUUCCUUAAGCGUCUAUAGGUCCUGCCCCUCUUGGGAUGAAAUCCGAAGUCUCUGGAGCGAGGUGUCAGCCACUCCCCCACCCCCGUUUUCCUUGAACUCCCAUUUCUACCUGGGGGCCCUGUGUUGUUUCCGCUUUGCACUAGUGUCCCCAAACUUCGCCAUACCCUGCCCCUCCGCAGAAAGGCCCUCUCCAAACACCCCAUCUGAAGUAGGGUUGCCCAACCCCAUUUCAGUGACUUUUGCAUGUCUUUCCUUCAGGGCACUUCAAGUUUUGUGCGUUUCUGUGCUAGCUAGUCUCUUCUGGUCCUAUCAGUCAGUCUGUGUAACCAAGUCCUCUAUAACAUGCUCACAAGCGUUCGUUUAAGUGAGCUAGGAAGGGCCUUGGCCCUGGUGCUGGGUACCUGCCCUAGGUGCCGCCAGGGGUGUGUCAGGCGACCCACAAGGCCCAGCCUAGGCUAGCAGGGACGAAGGAAGGGCUUGUUUCUAAGUUUGUCCUGACCUGCAGAGGGCCCAGCUCUUAAGAAGGGGCAAGCCUCCUCCCCAGCUCUCUGGCCCUGCUGCGGGAAGCAGCGGCACUGGUGCCAGACUGCCUUAGAAGCUCUGCAGUUGGCGGUUGGGGAAACGUUGGGAGCGAAGCGCCCAACCCCCCUCUUCACCCCAUCUCCAUGGAUACCCACACUUCCCCCACCCACCAGUAACUAGGCGGCCUCUGGAGGCCUCCAGUGAGGACUGUGCAGCAGCCACUUACUGCGCUACCCCACCAUGUCUGCUCACAGACCCUUCUCCAGAGAAGCGCUUAGCCUGGCCCUGGAUUUGUGGGCAAUCUUCCUGCUUCUACAAGGAGAGCAAGCAAGCAUACCAUACCCCGCUUGUUGACACAGGCUUCAUUUCAGCCUCUGUGCUAGAGCCUUGCUUCACUCCACUGCUCCUGUGGCUGAAUGGCAUCCAUCUGCAGUAGAUGAACCACCUUUUGCUUGGACACUCAUCAGCCAGUGAACAUUUGUGUUGUUUUGACUUUGGUUAUUAUAGGCAACAAUAAAUUUAUAAAUCAUACUCCUGUCAGUACUGAUAUGUACAUUUAACACAAAAAGCGGAGCAUGAAUAACAGCCUUGGACAGAACUGGUAUCAGCCCAAAGUGUAUAUGCGGAAGCCCUAACCUCCAGUGUGCCUAUGCCUGGAGUACACAGAUUAGACACGGUUAUCUAUGGCAUCUGAUUUCACAGGACUUUUGUGUUUCUUUUUCAGAUGGGGUCUCCUCAUAUGUAUCUCAGGCUGGCAUUGAACUCACUAUGUAUCAGAACUUGAACUCCUAGAUCCUCCUGCCUCUACCCGGUGCUGGGAUUACAAGGCAUGUAUUACCAUGCAGGUUUAUGUCAUACUGAAGCUAGAUCCCAGGGUCUCAUGAACACCAGGAGAGCCCUCUAUACCCACUGAGCUCGAGCUCCAGAGCUCAGAGCUGUUGCUACUGAGACAGCCCACAGGGUUUAUCACACUUGCUCUCUUAGCAAAGCAGCCCUGUUUGGACACAGCCAAGAAGACAGCCAUCUACAUGACAGGAGAAUCUCAAACCCAGUGAGUCAGCACCUUGGCCCCAGACUCUAAAAUUGUGACAACAAAAUAAAAUGUCAUAUGCAUAAGCUGCCCAAUCUAUGGUAUUUUGUUAUGGCCCACCCAAGUAGAUAAUACAAUUCCCACAAAAAUCUCAACAAGUUUCUCUAGUUGGAAGGUAGUUACAGGUAGGCAAAACUAUACACUAAAGAUAGUGAAAUAAAGAUGGUCCAGGUAAAGCUGUGGUUCUCAACUUGUGGGCUGGGAGCUGGGAUCCCUUUUGGAGUCGGGCAUCAGAUAUUUACAAUUCAUGAAACAGCAAUGAAAUAUUUUUAUGGUUAGGGUCACCACAACAUGAGGAGUUGAAUAAAGGGUUGUAGCAUUAAGAUGGUUGAGAACCACUGAGGUAAAGGAACCCAGGCAUGGCCAAGACAGUCAGGAAUUCUGGAAGAAGAGCACUGGUCACACUUCAAGGGAACAACAGCUACUUCCCACACUCACUCCUGCUGGGAAUGUGGGUUCUCGGAAGGGAAAGGACCAAAGCUGAGUUAUACCCAGGCCUUUAAAAUGUAUCUGACAGAAAGAUGACUUUUUCUUGUUAGACACAAGGUUGUCUACAUCCCAGGGUAGCCUCAAAUUUGCAUUGUUGCUGAAGCUGGCCUUAAACUCCUGAUCCUCCUGCCUCCGCUUCCCAAACGCUGGGAAGAUAGCAUGUUCUACCACAUCUGGUCUCUUCUGUUUUCUGUGCAGUCCUAGACCUUUCCAUCCUCCACUCCCUUACCUCAGCUCCCUAAGUGCUGAAAUGUCAAGCAAGCACCACCACAGCAGCUAAGAGCCUUUUCCCCUAGGGCCAAAGGCUAUCAAAAACAAGAGCUGGAGAGGAGAUUAAAGGAAGUUGGAAGGUAGGCAGAGGUAGUAUCUACUCCCCAAGAGUUGAUAAGGUCACUCUGGGCAUACUCUCGAGGACCACUUCUGAAAGGACCACACAUUGGUGUAAGGACCCUUAGUGAGUCAGGGAAGUAAAAAUCCCCAGGUAUCCUCGUCUGGAGAAUUCAAAAGGAGACCUAGGUUCCAGGAAAGACAAGAUGAAAUAUUAAAAAGCACAACAAAUCUCAUGAGAAUGCACAAGGGGUCAGCCAAGAUUCUGUGCUGGCCAUUCAAAGAGAAUAUCAUUGUUGUGGGAUAUUUUGAUACUUGACACUCCUGAGACUGUUCAAUAAAGUUAUACUUUGAAUUAGGGCAGAGCCAGUGACUUACUGAUUUGAGUUCUCUUGGUUCUGGGAUAAGGGAAGAGAUGUGUUUUUGGGGUGUAUCCAGCCCAAAAGGAAGGUCAGCUAGCUGCUACUCAACCUCUCUGAGCUAGCAGGUUUUCACCCCAGCCUUUGACUUCUGAGUCUUACUGAUAGAGAUUCAAUUUAAAACUACGGGUGGGGCACUGACAGAGGGGCCAUGGGGUGGCAGACAAUGAUGAAAAUGUCAAUAGUUUCAUAUGUAGCUGCUAAGCUGACAGACAUCAGACCACCAGUAGCCAGCCUAGGAGGAGAGGCUCAAAGGGACAGUGCUAUGAAGACAGCAGUUAAGAGUUGUGGCACCACUUACAGCUGGGGAGCUUCCCUGGGUGAACCACCCAGCCUCAUCCUAACAGCAGCUCAGUCUAACAGAGCCUCUAGGGGUCAUCUCACAGAAAGAGGAACAGCCGGGUGGAGGAAGCCUGACGGGUGCCAGUCAACACAACAGAAAUAGGAGACAAUUCCAUGGGUUUGAAUUUUCACAUGGAUACAUACAUACAUGCUAAGAAAAAUCCAUGGAGGGUAGACUGGAGGGUGAAGAGAGCAUGUUGGGAGGGCGCUUUCUCAGCAUUUGGAUGAACUGCCUGGGUAGGCCUACCACCACUGUCAUGAAGCACUUUUGCAUUGCCCCUCUAAGCCAGGACUCCUACCUCUGGAACAAUUCAUUCCAAGUCUCUGUCACCCACACAGCCAGUAGUUCUGUCCUGCUGAGAACCAGUGCAUUAUCAACCCAGCUUCUUAGAGGUGGGAGAACCUGCCUUGACUUUCAAGCUACCACCUACCUCACGUGUCCCUGCAGACACAUACUGUUUUCUAUAUUGUGCAUGAUGACACCUUGUAGCCUGCUUUAAUUUUCCAUGGCCCACAUUAAAAAAAAAAAAACCCAUACUGUGACAAGUCCCAGGAUCCUCUCUAGAUUGGCUACACUUCCAGCACUACUAUGUUGUCCUAGCUAGCCUUGAAUUUGCCAUCCUGUCUCAGCUUCCUGCAAUAGUUGGAAUUACGGGUCUACAUCAGAGGCCUAGCCUCUACACUGCCUUGGCACAUGGUACCUUCUCAUAGAGGAGAGUAGUUGAAAGCUCUGAGUUCCCUGACAUAGUUUGCUUAUAUUUCUUACUUGUGUAUGUACAUAACUACUCUCAGGAAAGUGUCACCUCAUGGUUUGAGAUUGAGUCAGAGGACCAUGAUCACCCUUCAGCGAUGGCCUUGUGUCUUGAGGCAAAGGGCAGAAGCUCAGACAUGAUGGCAGCUGGGAUCUGAUUCAAGUUCAUCUCAUUAACUAGAAGCAUUGCUAAGCAAGAGGCCUCAGGUGGCCUGAUAUCUUCAAAGUCCAGGAGCAAACAAGCCCACACCUCCUUCACCAGGGUGUCUGUUUUGUUCCCCCAAGGUCUUACUAUGGAACUCAUUCAAGGACCAGGCUGCCCUGGAAGGCUCUGUAUCUUAGGUAAGUGUUCUAUCACCCAGCCAUACCCCAGGUCUGCCCUGUGUCUUCUACACGACUAACAAAGCCGUGGAUCUCCAAAGGACUGAGGCAGAGUAUGCUGUGACCUACCCAUCCAGAGAAGUACCCUGGUUUUUCCAGCUGCAGCUUGGGAAGAAAGGCAUCUAGGAAAGAACACAGGCAUCACCAGAGGGCGCCCUGCAGCUGCAGAGCCCUGGACCCACCUGUUUAAGGGCAUUCCGAGCAAUUGUCUGGAAGGCCUGCUCCACAUUGAUGGCUUCCUUGGCACUGGUCUCAAAGUAGGGAAUGUUGUUUUUGCUGUAGCACCAAGCCUGUGCCCUCUUUGUGGCCACCUACAGGAAGGAGGACAUUAGUGACGUGAACAGUGGACAAUGACUCAGUCCUCUCCAGCACAAGUACACAAGUGAGAACAGAUCUGGGAAUGAGGAUGAGUGUGGCCUAUAAACCUGGAGGUCUGGUCACUCUGCUGUCCAGUCAGACCUUAUGGCCCUUAGCAGUGUGCCACAGGUCAAGAGCCAAUCCCAGGAGGUGGAAAGUGGCUCCACGCCCAUCUCUGGUAUAACCCUUUCCACUUGCUCAUCUUGGGCCACCUGAAGAAAUGGCAAGUGGCACAGGUUUUGCAGCGCUCACCCCUUAGAGCUCUCCUUCCCCUGCCCCAGCCAAGAAACAGACAAAAUCUGGAAAGGGAAAGAGAUAGUCAGAAAUAAGCUGAGCUAAAAUUAACAAAACCAUGUUCCAACAGAAAUGCUGUGUAGAAUCACAGCUGAGCCAACAUGACUCAAGGCCCACAGCAUUCUUCCAUCCUGAAGUGAGAAAACCAAUUCCUUCCUUUAAGGUACAGAGAGGGAACCGAGGUCCUGAAAACAAGACAGCCCCACAUCAAAGUUGGCUAGGGUCAACCCAGUGACAAGCACUCCCACUAGCACCUUCCCAGAUUAUUCUGAACCUGGAAGAGAGCCCUCCAAACUCCAAGGUACCAGAGGACCUGUGAUGGUAAGUGUUAUGUUAGCACUUACUUGUCUGUUUUCAAGGUCAAUCUUGUUUCCCAACACAACAAAAGGAAAGUUCUCAGGAUCCCGGGGGCUGGCCUGGAUAAGAAACUCGUCUCUCCAGCUGUCAAGGGUUUUGAAUGUGUUAGGGGCAGUCACAUCAAACACCAGAACACAGCAAUCUGCACCUCUGUAGAAGGCCACACCAAGAGACUGGAACCGUUCUUGACCAGCUGUGUCCCAGAUCUGCAAGAAGCAAAACACCUAGUCUUUAGGAGGUUCUCUCUUCUCUCUCUUCUCUCUCUCUCUCUCUCUCUCUCUCCCUCUCUCUCUCUCUCUGUGUGUGUGUGUGUGUGUGUGUAUGCAGGUACACACGCAUGUACAGGGGGAAGAGACAUGAGCCUCCUCUAUCUUCUCCCAGGUAUGUACACAGAACAUGAAGAAGGUACAGCCUCAACACUUAUGUAUUCUGGGAACUUCCUAAGGGCUUGAUUAUUGUGCUUUAUGUAAGUGUUCUAUGUAGCCACACAGGCACUGAACUUGCAAUUCUUCUGCCUCAGCUUCCUUGGUGUUGACAUUACAAGUAUGUAUUACCACCAGCUUUCCUAAGGGUAGUAGAAAUAAAACAUUACUGACUAAAAUGAA